CAGGCCUAACACAUGCAAGUCGAGGGGCAGCAUGGUCUUAGCUUGCUAAGGCCGAUGGCGACCGGCGCACGGGUGAGUAACGCGUAUCCAACCUGCCUUACACUCUUGGACAGCCUUCUGAAAGGGAGAUUAAUACAAGAUGUUAUCAUGAGUAAGCAUUUUCGCAUGAUUAAAGGUUUACCGGUGUAAGAUGGGGAUGCGUUCCAUUAGAUAGUAGGCGGGGUAACGGCCCACCUAGUCUUCGAUGGAUAGGGGUUCUGAGAGGAAGGUCCCCCACAUUGGAACUGAGACACGGUCCAAACUCCUACGGGAGGCAGCAGUGAGGAAUAUUGGUCAAUGGACGAGAGUCUGAACCAGCCAAGUAGCGUGAAGGAUGAAGGUUCUAUGGAUUGUAAACUUCUUUUAUACGGGAAUAAACGGAUCCACGCGUGGAUUUUUGCAUGUACCGUAUGAAUAAGGAUCGGCUAACUCCGUGCCAGCAGCCGCGGUAAUACGGAGGAUCCGAGCGUUAUCCGGAUUUAUUGGGUUUAAAGGGAGCGUAGAUGGGUUGUUAAGUCAGUUGUGAAAGUUUGCGGCUCAACCGUAAAAUUGCAAUUGAUACUGGCAGUCUUGAGUACAGUUGAGGUAGGCGGAAUUCGUGGUGUAGCGGUGAAAUGCUUAGAUAUCACGAAGAACUCCGAUUGCGAAGGCAGCUUACUAACCUGUAACUGACAUUGAUGCUCGAAAGUGUGGGUAUCAAACAGGAUUAGAUACCCUGGUAGUCCACACGGUAAACGAUGAAUACUCGCUGUAGGCGAUAUACAGUCUGCGGCCAAGCGAAAGCAUUAAGUAUUCCACCUGGGGAGUACGCCGGCAACGGUGAAACUCAAAGGAAUUGACGGGGGCCCGCACAAGCGGAGGAACAUGUGGUUUAAUUCGAUGAUACGCGAGGAACCUUACCCGGGCUUAAAUUGCAACCGAAUAUGGCGGAAACGCUAUAGCUAGCAAUAGCGGUUGUGAAGGUGCUGCAUGGUUGUCGUCAGCUCGUGCCGUGAGGUGUCGGCUUAAGUGCCAUAACGAGCGCAACCCUUGCCGAUAGUUACUAACAGGUUAUGCUGAGGACUCUGUCGGGACUGCCAUCGUAAGAUGUGAGGAAGGUGGGGAUGACGUCAAAUCAGCACGGCCCUUACGUCCGGGGCUACACACGUGUUACAAUGGGGGGUACAGAGGGCUGCUACCACGCAAGUGGAUGCCAAUCCCAAAAACCUCUCUCAGUUCGGAUUGAAGUCUGCAACCCGACUUCAUGAAGCUGGAUUCGCUAGUAAUCGCGCAUCAGCCACGGCGCGGUGAAUACGUUCCCGGGCCUUGUACACACCGCCCGUC
rnacentral:rRNA from 1 species